GGGUUUUGGGGUUGGUGCCUGCAAGAUGAGGAUUCUCUAGGGGGAAGAGGAGCUGCUCAGGGGCCUGGCUGGAGUUUGAUGUGAACGCUUUCUGCAGCUGUACAUGAUGUACUCGAGCAGUUUCCCAGCGCCGAGGCCAUGUCAGGAGGAACAGUGCCUUCUGGAGAUAUUUCAUCCCAACGUCUUCUGGAAAGUUCAUUUCUGCCUUGACGAAAUUCAGUUUUUAUUAAAAAUGAUUAAUGUCUAGAAAUUUAAUCAAUGCGUAUUCACACGGAGGCGGCCUUACUGUAAUAGUUUGAUUUUAAGCAGCUUGUGUCCUGAUGCGUGAGGUGUGUUAUGCUAUCUGACAGCGGCGACAUUUAUAUUUGUAAUUACCAAAUGGCGACAGCCCACUGGAAAGCCUGCCCUGCUGCAGGGAGCAGAAUGGAUGUAAAUGCACGGCACUGGGAAGCACAAAACUCACCGUAUAUCAGUGGAUCCCGAGAUUAAAAAGCAGGGGAUGACAUUCUCCUCCCAACGAAAGCACGCGUGUGUUCCGAGAUCAAUUGCUGACUUCUAUUUAUUUCUUUUGUACUUAUGAAAUAGUCUCUUCCUGCUCAUUGCCUGACCCUGCUGCUUCUAUUUCAUCACGUGGGAACAUCUUGAGAACAAAAUGCGGCACGCAGGGAUAUGAGCCUCUUAGGGCUUGAUUAUAGAAUGCUGAAAAAUUGGGUGAGUCAAGCUGGGAUAGAGAUCCCAAAUUUGAUAUAAAUCUUGAUAAAUUGGUCGGGGAGAAUAUUUGGAGCUGCUGUUUUUUCAAGUGCUGAGAUGUAGGGUAAAGUUAUCAGCUGGUGGAAGCUAUUUUGGAAGUGGCUUUAGACUAUUAACGCUGCGCAGAUAAAAUCCUUUCCCUGCAGGAAGAAGCUCAGUAUUUAGCCAGGUGCCUGGAAAACUGGGGCAGUAGGGAACGCAGAUAUCCCCUGGCCUGUUGGUAAUUAAUAGGGUUAUCUCCUAGUUAGGGAAGAGUUGUGGGAUGCGAUUUGCUACUGAGAUUGGGCAGACAUAGAAAGCACGCAGAGCUUUAGAUGAAAUUUGUAAUUUACAUAGCUUAUGUCGUUACGCUCGGAUGUCUUGUGAUGCUGGGUUUGGUUUGUCCUUGAGUCCCACCUCCUUUGCUCAUCUGUGAGGUAUCCUAGAGCACUUCCCAUUGCCAAACUGGAUAUCUGUCCCAUCUACAGAGCAACCAAUGGGAGAGAGAGACCUCAUUGGAUGUGCACAACAACUGGAAAACCCAUUCAGGACUGAUCCUAAAGAAGAUCCAAGUUCCUUCUAGUUGACCCUGUGACCCCUCUGAGGUGGUGUCCAGCCAUGGGGUUGAGCACCUGGCUUUGGUGCGUAACAGAUCUGACUCUGCCGAGCAGCAGCACUGCACACCCACCUUCAUGCUGUGCAAAUGGCUGCUCACGGCGUUUGGGCUUUUUGCUCAGCUCCAGUUGCUGAACAGGUCUCACUGAGAGCCCUCUGCCAUGAGCUGUAAAUAGCAACCUUGUGACUUCCUCCGGCGGGUGUUGCACCUGGCUAUGUCUGAUAGUCAUAAUAAACAUUUUCUCUUCUUGUGUAUUGGAUUUAUCCUUUGCAGACGGUAAUUUACCCUGAUUGCAGCUCAUCUUGUCUUCCCUGCCACAGUGUUCCUUAUGCUUUCUAAUUUUCUCAAGUGCACUGACAGCCC
ensembl:lncRNA